rnacentral:rRNA from 1 species
AGCGUUGUUCGGAUUCAUUGGGCGUAAAGGGUUCGUAGGUGGUGAUGCAAGUCUGGUGUGAAAUCUCGGAGCUCAACUCCGAAAUUGCACCGGAUACUGCGUGACUCGAGGACUGUAGAGGAGAUCGGAAUUCACGGUGUAGCAGUGAAAUGCGUAGAUAUCGUGAGGAAGACCAGUUGCGAAGGCGGAUCUCUGGGCAGUACCUGACACUGAGGCACGAAGGCCAGGGGAGCAAACGGG